rnacentral:lncRNA from 1 species
UUAAAAAUACAAUUACUAAGAUGAAACACCCGAGGGUGAGUCCUACUUUUAUGAAUUCUGUCAGAACACCGUUGGAUUCCUCGUGGCCACCAAAGCUCUGCUAUCUAGAACCUGGAGGGGCGCAAAACAAAAUUGAGUGGUCAGUAAAACAAAGUUUUUCGAAAACCUUUCAUUUAAAACAUUUCUAACCCCUCGCUGUAAAACUUGUAUACUUCCCCAGAAAAAUAGUAUAUAAACAUAUAUAUAUCAUCAAAAGCUCAAAUUACAAUCCUUCAACGCUUUUCAGAAAGAAUAUGCCAUGCCAUGCCAUGCCAUAUGCCAAAAUAUAAUAUGAAUGCAUCAAUAUAAAUUACAUGAAAUAAUAAAUCAACCGGAGACCCUACAGUGGUCCUGUACGGCUGAUUCUAUAGCUCAAUAUCCCAUCCAGCCGGAGUCACCAACUGUGACCUGUACGGCCCUGCCGGAGUCACCAACUGUGACCUGUACAGCACUACACUGCACGUAAGUCGGAACUACCUAUAGUAGUCUGUACGACUAAGAUGGUGAAAUAAUACGCUCUAGUGCUUCUCAUCAAUCAUCGGUGCGCAUAAUCUAAGGUCACCUACCAGUCGGAACCCCUCUAAUGGUCUGUACGAUUGGCAUGUCGGAACCACCUCUAGUGGUCUAUACGACAUCCACCUACUUGGAUCUAAGGCGAGCGUGCGGUGUGGUGAAUAAUAUAAGCACUAACACCAUUAUUGCAGGUUAUAAGCUAUCAACAUAAUAUACAUCAUCAAUGAUUCACAUGAAUAACAUAAAACUCACCUGAUACUUACCUGUGCGUCCACAGCACCAAUUCACAUAUAUAUAUAUAUAUAUAUAUAUAUAUAUAUAUAUAUAUACAUAUAUACAUCAAUAUCAAUUCAUAUAAUUAUAAUAUGCAUCAUGGCAAUUGAAAACAUACUUUCAUAUAUAUUCAAUUUCUUGGGCAAUUAAUAGUAUAUAGGUAAUACGAAAAAAACAAAAACUGCCCACUCACCUGGAGUUCGCCCUACAACUCCCUAGCACAAUACAUCAAGGCGUCAUGACGAUCGGCGCCUAAAAAAAUAAUCAAAUCCAACCUCAGAAAUCAUAUCGAUAGAAUAUAUAACUUAUAUAAAACACGUCACUACGCAGUUCGAUCCGGAAGAUCUGCAACUCAUAUUUCAAAUCCAUAACUUCCAGACGUCCACAAUAUACCUCUAGGACAACAUCCUAAAAUUUCAUUACCAUCCAACGGUCGGAUCUCCGUCAAUUUCCAAAACCAAGUGACGGUUAACAUUCUAUUUUAUGAACUUACAACUCCAAUUCCGGAAGAUCCGUAACUCGGAUUCCCAAUCCGUAAGUUCCUAUAAUCCUCAAAUAUUACGUAUUACAACGUAUCAAAGUUUGGUGAUGAUCCAACGGUCAGAUCGUCAAUUCACAUUUUCACCUAACCACGAAUCGUAACCAACUUAGGUUCAAUUACUCAAUUUACGUCCAUCAAUUAUCAAAAUUGAACCUAGAACCUUAAACACAUGCUAAGAAUGACAUUGGCGGGCCAUUGGCCAUGCACCGCCGGGUUAAUACUAUAUAAAAGUUAUUUAAAGCAUAUAACCAACAAUUCUCAAUAACUUCUCAUAUGGUGCUCAAUUUGGGUAUAUGAAUAUACCACAAUGACCUACUCGACGUCACGAUCGUCGAGAAAUUUUUAAAAUAAUUUUUGGGCUUGUCAUGUGCCCCCACAGGCCAAGAAGGGCACGGGUUCACGCGCCCCCACGCGCGUCUCCUACAUUGGUUCGCCGGUUUCUGGGCAGUUUUUCAAAUCGCUAUAACUUUGUCAUUUCUUCACCAUUUUCAACGUUCUUUAUAUCAAAAUGAAGAUCUUGACGAGAUGAACACAUCCAUACCUACCUCGACCCCUAACUCUCCGUGGUUUGGUCGGAAAACGCCUCGAAAGGCACGGGUCAAACUUGAACUUUUUGAUCUCGAUAUUCUUACGUCCAAAAACCUCCAACGAACUACCCCAAGCCUCCUAAGGACCUCACGAAGCUUCCUACAAGCUUGAAAACUCCUAAAAAUCAACCAAUACAAAGUUGAUAAAUAGUGUCAAACUCGGUGCUUGUGAUUCCGACGUGAAAACGUUGAAGUUCUUACCUGAAAUGGGUAUGGAUGAACUCGUAUCGAUGAGAUGAAGACGAUAGUGGUCUUUGUUUCCUCGAUCUGUAAAUAUUUGAAGGUCAAUGGGUGUCGUCCGUACGAGUUGCAGAGAGAGAAAAAAGCUGAGAGAGAAGAGAGAGAGGGUGCGGGGAAGGAGAGAGAGAAGAGGGUGGUUUGUGUGGGUGUGUACGUGUCCCGUAUGUGAUCCAUCCAAAUCAAACCAUAACCCAACUUUCUUUAAGUCUCUAGUUCACUUAGGUCCAACUUUAGUAUAAUCAUCCAAAAAUCAACUUAAUUAAGUCACACAUACACACAACCCCACUUGACGACCAAGGGUAAUUUCGUAACUUCACGUCCUCGGAAAUGAAAUUCCGGAACGGGCUGUGACAUAUACUACACCCAACCAAGCAACAUUUAUCUAGCUUGUAGGUAAAUUAAUUUCCAUGUAUUGUUAGAUAUGUUAGGCACAUUUUAUUGUUGUAUAAACAUGGGUGUAACAUAGUAUUUUUAAUAUUCUGCAACAAACUACAUUUCUUCUUAAUAUAGGUAAAUUAUUUUCCAUGUAUUAGUAAAUAUGUUAGGCACGUUUUGUUGUUGGUAUAAACAUUUUUUUGCAUCAUUAUAAAAAAGAGAUAUUAUAUUACACCCAUGGUAUAAUUGUUGUAGGUAAAUUAAUGUGCAUGUAGAUAAUGACAUACUGUCACAGCCCGUCCCAAGAAACAUUUAUCGUUAAUGUGAAAAGAUUAGUUUACCCUUGGACAUUAAAAUGUGUAGUGCGAUUUAUUUUGAAUUGGAUUAAUUAAGUUUUUCCUAAGUUUUUGAAACCGCUUAGGAACUAAGAAACUUUGGUUGUGAUUGGGUUGUUGGCUAGUUUUGGAUCACACAUCACUCAUCCAUCCUCUCUCUUCCUCCCUGUGCUCUCUCUCUUACACUCAAACUCUCUCUCUCUUCGAACUCGUACGGACUCACACAAUCAAACCCAAAACAACACGGAUCGAAGGUUCUGAGGUCUCCAGUGUGUUCUUAGGAUCCUUACGAGUCGAGUGGUACCCAUCUUCAGCAAGGAAACAUUCGAGAAACCCUAGUUUGAAAAGGAGCCGUGGGUGUACAAUACACCAAACCAGUUCGUGGAGGUUUCAAGGUGUUCUAAGGCUCAAAAGGUAAUCUCCUAGUCCUCUUGGUUGUUUUGGCAUAAAUUGGAACGAUUUUGGAUGUUAGAAAACCCCGAAAAAUGGACCUUCGACUUGGGUACUAUUCAUCAACUUUUAAACCCUUGAGUUUUUGUGAAUUUUAGGACCACAGUGACCUCAAAGAGGUCCUCACGAUGCUCGGAGUGCAUUGUUGGUAGGAUUUGAGUCACGGGAAGCUCAAAAACGGAGUUUUGCAGUGGUCGCCGGAGUUCGAGGACUUCUCUGACGUGAUUUCACGUGAUUUGAGGCGUGAAAGAGGUUUAACGCGAUUCAUUUUGAUGGAAAUUGCAUGAAAAAUAGUGAAGAAAGCGAGAGCGAGAAAGAGUUUGAAAAAUUGCCCAGUUUUUAAGCUUGCAGUUCGAAAAGGUUGUGGAGGUUGGAGCUGGAGGUAAGAGGUGAAGGAAUAUUCCAUCAAGUAUGACAGAAUAUUCUCAUGCCGUUAGUUAGAUUUAACGGUAACAGUUAGAAGUUAGAACUUCCUGACGGAAUUAACUGACGGCGUAACUGACCGUCAGUAUGCCUAGCACAUGGCAGCGUGUGGGUGGCGCGUCUGGCCGUGCCAUUGUCGGCGCGUGAGGCUUCCAAAAUUUUUUCUAAAAAUAUUGGGAUGAUCUUGAGGUUGUGUAGGUCACUGUGGUGUAUUCAUAUACCCAUUUUGAGCAAUGUAUGAGAAGUUAUUAAUUAGUUAGUUUGCCUAUGUGCUUUAAAAAUAACAUUUGUAGUUAGUUCGCAUAUAGGUGAGACUUAUACAACGAACGAAUCCAGGACAAGGAUCACCCUUGACUUAAGGGUUAACAUUAACCGACCCGUUGAUACAAUUGUGAGUGGGAAUUUUUAUGUUCAUACCAAACCAGUUGUGUAUAGUUUCAUCAGGACAUUUUGAAGAGUUGACUUGAAACUUAAGUUUCAUACCCAGCCUACAUUAGAUAAACUAUGUAGGUUAUAUUAUAAACGAGUAAAACAUCGAUUUUUGGUGUUUACUUAUUUUGCAGUGAAUUUGCCGGAUUGGCAUGUGAAGUUAGAGAAUAAAGACUAAAACGGAAUUCAGCACGUACAGUGACUACCGGUUAGUUGACAGGUAGGUUCGAACUUAACAUAUCUAGUUUACAUCACUUAGUGAGUGGGUUUAUUUUGUUUUGAGGUUGUUAUGGCCACUUGAUUUUUUACUCCAUUUGCAAUGUAUGCAUGGCAUAGUCUUUGUAAAUUUUGUUAAGCCAUUAAUUGCAUUGUUUACUUGAUGUGACUUGACUAAUGUGAUGUGUUGUCAGUAUGGAUCCACUAAGAUUUUUGUAAUGUAUUUAUGAAUGUAUUAUAUUCUGAAUUGAGCAUAACUAUUAUACACCCAAUGAAUUUGUACAGACUUCGAUUAUGUGUAAUUGUUAGGUCAUUGCAGUGACUCCGGCUAGAUUGACUUAGAACUAUGAAUUCAGCCGUACAGAGUACCACAGGGGUUCCAGCUAACAUUCAUAUUUCUAUGAAUUUAUUAUUACCUGAAUUGCUUACUUUGUUAUAUAUUGGCAUGGCAUAUAUUUGAAUAUGAUUAUGUGAAGCAUGAAUUGAAUUGAUAUGAUUUCAUAUAUAUAUAUAUGUGUGUGUGUGUGUGUGUGUGUGUGUGUGUGUGUGUGUUAUUUAUGUAAUGUUGUGCUUAUAUUUCUGAUUCUGGGAAAAAAUUAUACAUGUUUACAACGAGGGUUAGAUAUGUUGAUAAAGAAAAUGAUUUUGUAAAACAUUUGUUUUUGCCUACUCACGUUUUCUGUUUUGCCCCCCUCCAGGUUUUAAGUAAACUUGUUGUUGAUGGCUUGAGGACGUCGGCGAUUCUGACCUAUCUAAAUAAUAGUAGGACAUUCCUAGUACUGUAUAAUUAGUACUUGUCCUACUAGACUACACUAGUAAUACUCUGUCCCUGACUGUAGACUAACACCUGCUCUGCUCUUUAUGAGUGUUUACUGUGUAACUAACUCCUCCUCACUUCCUGUUUAGUAGUGCACUCUAGUAAUUUGGUUUUUAAUUAUUCGUAUAAUUCUUAUCUUUAUUGCUUCCGCACUGUGCACAUGGCUACGUCACUUUCACGUAAUGGCCAGCAUGACUUGAUCUCGGUCGGGGUGUGUCAGCUUUGUAUCAGAGCCUAGGCUUAUCAGCCCUGUAUAAUUCUUGAAUAUUCUAAUCCUUGUGAUGUCUUAUGUCAGAACUAUGCCGCCUCGUAGAGAGCCCCGUCAAUCAGCUGAAUCUAGUUUUCCUGAUAUUGCUCAAUUAGGGGAAGCUAUAGUUUCUGCCAUUCAGACAGCAUUCCAUACUCCCAGAUAACACCUCUUGAGACAGUUCAUAAUCUGAAGUUGACUCACUUCAUUGGAAAUAAAGAUCAUGAGGGGGCAGAAAAAUGGCUGAAUCAUGUGGAAAAGACCUUUCAGGUGAUGCAGAGUCAGGGGAAUCUUUCUUCUGAUAAGUGGAUUGAGACUACUACCUAGUUUUUGGGAGAACAACCUGCAUCCUAGUGGAGACAGGAGUCUUACCAGUUGACCCCAGCAUAGAUUGUGGACUGGGGAGUGUUUAAGGAGCUAUUUCGGAAAAAGUUCAUUCCUCCUGCAUAUAUCGAUAGUAAGAAACAGGAGUUUACUCAUCUGAGGCAAGGAAAUAUGUCUGUUAAUGAGUAUUACAGGAUGUUUACUGAUCUGUCGAGAUAUGAUCCCGAGGUUGCUGCUAAUCCGAUAGAAAUGCUUCGCCGUUUUAGUUUGGGUACCAAGAAGAAAUGACGUUCCAUAGCGACAUCGACUCACUGUGCCUCUUACCAGGAGUUUUAUGAGAUUCUUCUGAGGAUUGAGGCCUCAGAGAACAUGCCUAGUGAAAGUGAGGAUGAGGAAGGAAAAAAUGGGGGCCAGAGACGAGAUGACAAAGGAAAAUGGCAAGCAUUUCAAGGACCCCGCAAGACCCAGAACUUUAAGAGGAGUGGUGGCAGUUCCAGCUCUUCUAGCGGAUGAUUGAGUACUAAUAUGCAGAGGAGAGGUGGUAGAUUUACUGGAGGCUCUAGGUUCCAGAGGCAAAGAGAUUUUGAUGGUUCAGGUGGAUCUGGUGCUCCCUUAUGCCACAAGUAUAAUAAUCGGCAUUUUGGGGAGUGUAGGAGAGACAGCAAUGGAUGUUUUACUUGUGCACAGAUGGGUCAUAGGGCUGCCCAAUGUCCUCAGAGUCAGCAGAGACCCCAGCAGUCUUCUUUCCCACCACCUGCACCGACCUAGUAAGCUUCAGGAUCUGGUGGCUAUACUCAGACUGGACGAGGAGGUGCCUACCACUAUCAGGGUGACGCCGCUCCCUACACCUCAAGACAUCAUCAAUAUUCUCAAGACCCUUAGUAUCAGGGAGGAUUUAUGUCUUAUCAGCCACAUUCAGCUGGUGGAUCUCAGUAGUACCAAGGGGGACAUCCCCAACAAGGAGAGAUUGCUGCUAGUAGUGCAAGAUCUUCGAGGCAGUCAGGUCAGCAAAGGCAGGGAUGUGGUAUUCAUGCCAACAGAGUUCGCAGUGGACGACAGCAGAAUCAAGGGCGUAUCUAUAACAUGUCACUGCAAGAUGCCCAGAAUAAUCCAGAUUUAAUUAUGGGUACGUUAUCUAUUCUUGGUCAUUUUGCUAGAGUAUCGAUUGAUUGUGGUGCUACACAUUUUGUUAUUUCUCAUACAUUUGCUCAAGUGACACAACCUCAUCCUACACCUCUAGGAUAUAAUUUAGAAUUUUCUAUGCCUAGAGGGGAUAGAUGUUUUGUGAAUCGGGUAUAUCCAGGAUGUCCAAUGAUAGUAGAGGAUAUUAUUAUGCCGGCUAAUCUUAUGCCGUUGGAUAUUAUGGAUUUUGAUGUGAUUUUGGGCACUAAUUGGUUGCCCUAUAAUCAUGCCAAGAUAGAUUGUUAUGGGAAGACAGUCACAUUUCGUUGUCCUGGAUUACCUGAAGUUACAUUUGUAAGAGAACCUAGUGGGAUGAGGCAUGGUAUUAUUUUAGCCAUGAAAGCAAAGAGACUGUUGUUGAAAGGUUGUCAAAGAUAUUUGGCUCAUGUGGUAAAGAGACUAUUGUUGAAAGGUUGUCAGGGAUAUUUGGCUCAUGUGGUGUUGAAUGAUGAUGCUCCUAGUAGUGUGGAGGAUGUUCAUGUGGUUAGAUAUUUUCCGGAUGUAUUCCCUGAGGAUUUGCCUGGAUUGCCGCCAGAUAGAGAGGUGGAGUUUGUUAUUGAUCUGCUUCCAGGUACAAAUCCCAUAUCCUUAACUCCUUAUAGAAUGGCUCAUGCUGAAUUAAGGGAAUUGAAAGUUCAAUUACAAGAGUUAGUGGAUAAAGGUUUUAUUCAGUCGAGCACUUCACCUUGGGGAGUUCCAGUUUUAUUUGUGAGGAAGAAAGAUGGAACUUUGAGGUUGUGCAUUGAUUAUAGGCAACUGAAUCGAGUAACCAUUAAGAACCGUUAUCCAUUGCCUCAUAUAGACGACUUAUUUGAUCAACUCAGAGGUGCCUGCAUAUUUUCUAAGAUUGACUUGAGGUCGGGAUACUAUCAAUUGAAGAUUAAAAAUGAAGAUGUCCCUAAAACCGCAUUCAGGACUAGAUAUGGUCAUUAUAAGUUUCGUGUGAUGUCAUUUGGGUUAACUAAUACACCAGCAGCUUUUAUGGAUUUGAUGAAUUGAGUAUUCCAGCCAUAUUUGGACAGGUUUGUUAUUGUCGUCAUUGACGAUAUUCUGGUAUACUCUAAGGCUAAGGCUGAGCAUGCUAGACAUCUAAAGUUGGUGUUGAGCAGUUUGAGGGAACACUAACUAUAUACUAAGUUUAGCAAAUGUGAAUUAUGUUUGAAUCAAGUGGCAUUUUUGGGACAUGUCAUUUCUGCUCAAGGCAUUCAAGUGGAUUCUCAUAAAGUGGCAGCUAUGGAGAAUUAGGAGCAACCUCGAACCGUCACCGAGGUACGGAGUUUUCUUGGUUUAGCAGGCUAUUAUAGAUGGUUCGUUAAGGAUUUUUAGUGAUUGCUUUGCCAUUGACGAGGUUGACGCAAAAGGAUGCUAAGUUUGAGUGGGAUAAUAAAUAUGAGCAAAGUUUCUAGCAGUUAAAGUACUAUCUUACUCAUGCUCAUAUUAUAGCGCUUCCAAAUGAUAGCGGUAAUUAUGAGGUUUAUAGUGAUGCUUCUCUGAAUGGUUUGGGUUGUGUAUUAAUGCAACAUGGUAGGGUGAUUGCUUAUGCUUCGAGACAGUUGAAACCUCAUGAGAAGAAUUACCCUACACAUGAUUUGGAAUUAGCAGCUAUCAUCUUUGCCUUGAAGAUUUGGAGACAUUAUCUUUAUGGUGAGAAAUGUAAGAUCUUUACAUAUCAUAAGAGUCUUCAGUAUUUGUUUACUCAGAGAGAUCUUAAUCUUCAACAGCGGAGGUGGAUUGAGUUACUUAGUGACUAUGAUUAUACGAUUGAGUAUCAUCUUGGUCGUGCAAAUGUAGUGGCAGAUGCACUUAGUAGGAAGACUCCAGCCAGACUCAGUGCCAUCUAUGAUUAUCAUGUUCCUCUUCUAGAAGAUUUGAGGUCCAUUGGAGUGGAGUUAGGAGUGGAAGAUCGAGAAGAAGCUUUGCUUGCUAAUUUUCAAGUUAGGCCAAUUUUAAUUGAUCGUGUGCUCAAGGCUUAGAUGAAUGAUGAGGAGACACAAGAAAUACUCCAAGCAAGGAACCAAGGCAAAAAGAAAGAUUUUGGAAUUCGAGAAACUGAUGGCAUGCUUAUGCAGGAAAGCAGAAUGUAUGUGCCGAAUAAUGCAAAGUUAAAGAAAGAAAUUUUGGAUGAAGCGCAUAUUUCGUCAUAUGCGAUGCAUCCAGAAGGCACUAAAAUGUAUCAUACCAUUAGACCAUUUUAUUAUUGGCCGAGUAUGAAAAGAGAAAUUGCCGAAUAUGUGAGUAGGUGUGCCAUUUGCCAACAGGUUAAAGCUGAAAGGAAGAAGCCUUUUGGGUUGAUGCAGCCACUUCCCGUUCCACAGUGGAAAUGGGAAAAUAUUACUAUGGAUUUUGUGUACAAGCUUCCUCGCACACAGAAUGGUUAUGACGGCAUUUGGGUGGUAGUUGAUCGGCUUACGAAGUCAGCGCAUUUUAUUCCAGUGAGAGAGAAGUAUUCGUUAAGCUAAUUAGCUAAGUUAUUUAUAUCGCAGAUUGUGAAGUAUCAUGGUGUGCCAGUUAAUAUUAUCUCAAAUCGGGAUCCUAGAUUUACUUCCAAGUUCUGGAUAGCAUUCCAGGAAGCUCUUGGUACGAGAUUGCUUUAUAGCACGGCAUAUCACCCUCAGACAGAUGGACAAUCUGAGAAAACUAUUCAGACAUUAGAGGAUAUGUUGAGAUCUUCAGUGCUGCAGUUUGGAGAUAGUUGGCAUGAUUGUUUGGAUUUGAUGGAGUUCGUCUACAACAACAGUUACCAUUCGAGUAUUGGGAUGGCACCAUUUGAGGCACUAUAUGGGAAAUCUUGUCGUACGCUUGGUCAGAGGAUGGCAAAAGAGUUUUAGUGGGCCCUGAGAUUAUGGAUGUGACUACUCAAAAUGUUCAGGUAAUUAAGUCUAACCUAAAAAUGGCCCAAGAUCGACAAAAGAGCUUAGCAGACAAGCAUGCCACUGAUCGAAAGUAUAAUGAAGAUGAUUAGGUAUUUCUAAAGCUAUCACCUUGGAAAAGUGUUGUACGAUUUGGAAAGAAAGGAAAGUUGAGUCCUAGGUACAUUGGACCAUACAUGAUCACCGAGCGAGUCGAUGAGGUUGCUUACAAGCUUGAGUUGCCUCCAGAGUUGUCCAAGGUGCACGAUGUAUUUCAUGUUUCGAUGCUUCGACAUUAUGUUUCGGAUCCUUCACAUGUGAUUCCUCCUCAAACUUUGGAAAUUAAUCCGGAUUUGACUUAUGAUGAGGAACCAGUGACUCUGUUGGAUUGGAAGAAUAAGGAAUUGAGGAACAAGACCAUGUGCUUAGUGAAAGUAUUAUGGAGAAAUCAUUCAGUAGAAGAAGCUACUUGGGAGACAAAGGAUCGGAUGAGAGAGAUAUAUCCACGCUUGUUUUAUGAUUAUUAGUGGAUGUAAUUGUUAUGCAUAAUUUCGAGGACGAAAUUUUAUAAGGUGGGAAAAUUGUCACAGCCUGUCCCGAGAAACAUUUAUCGUUAAUGUGAAAAUACUAGUUUACCCUUGGACGUUAAAAUGUGUAGUGUGUGCUUUAUUUUGAAUUGGAUUAAUUAAGUUUUUCCUAAGUUUUUAGAACCACUUAGGAACUAAGAAACUUUGGUUGUGAUUGGGUUGUUGGCUAGUUUUGGAUCACACAGCACUCCUCCAUUUUCUCUCUUCCUCUCUGUGCUCUAUCUCUCUCACAAUCUAACUCUCUCUCUCUUUUCGAACUCGUACGGACUCACACAAUCAAACCCAAAACAACACAGAUCGAAGGUUCUGAGGUUUCCAGUGUGUUCCUAGGAUCCUUACGAGUCGAGUGGUACCCAUCUUCAGCAAGGAAACCUUCGAGAAACCCUAAUUUGAAAGGGAGCCGUGGGUGUACAAUACACCAAACCAAUUCGUGGAGGUUUCAAAGUGUUCUAAGGCUCAAAAGGUAAUCUCCUAGUCCUUUUGGUUGUUUUGGCAUAAAUUGGAACGAUUUUGAACGUUAGAAAACCCCGAAAAAUGGACCUUCGACUUGGGUACUAUUCAUCAACUUUUAAACCCUUGAGUUUUUGUGAAUUUUAGGACCACAGUGAGCUCAAGGAGGUCCCCACGAUGCUCAGAGUGCAUCGUUGGUAGGAUUUAAGUCACGGGAAUCUCGAAAACGAAGUUUUACAGAAGUCGCAGGAGUUCGAGGACUUCUCCGACGUGAUUUCAUGUGAUUUGAGGCAUGAAAGAGGUAUAACACGAUUCUUUACCUCAUAAACUUCAUUUUGGUGGAAAUUGCAUGAAAAAUAGUGAAGAAAUGAGCGAGAUUAAAGAGUUGAAAAAUUGCCCAGUUUUUUAUGCCGACGACGGUUGCCGAAGCUGGAGGUAGGAAGUGAAGGAAUAUUCCAUGAAGUAUGACAGAAUAUUCUCACGCCGUUAGUUAGAUUUAACGGUAACAGUUAGAAGUCAACGGAAUAUUCCUGACGGCGUUAACUGACGCCGUCAGUAUGCCUGGCACAUGGCCUUGUGUGGGGGGCGCGUCUGGCCAUGCCAUUGUCGGCGUGUGAGGCUUUCAAUUUUUUUUCUAAAAAUAUGGGGAUGAUCUUGAGGUUGUGUAGGUCACUGUAGUGUAUUCAUAUACCCAUUUUGAGCAAUGUAUGAGAAGUUAUUAGUUAGUUUUGCCUAUGUGCUUUAAAAUAACGUUUUUAUAGUUAAUUCGCAUAUAUGUGAGACUUAUCCUGAGGACGAGCGUAUCCACGGGCAACUCGGGGGUUACGAUCCGUUGACAUACCAGUGAGUGGGCUUUUGUUUUCAGUAUAUAUUUAUAUACUUGAUAUAUUUCCCAGAAAUGCAUUUUUUUAGGAAAGUAUGCUUUGAAAUUAUAUGUCAAAUGCUUUUAUAUUCUGAAUACGCAUUUCAUGGUAUAUAAAUGUGGUGAUGUGGAGGCAUAGGUGAGUUCAGGUAAGUUAUGUUUGGCUAUGUGAAUCAUCGAUGAUGUGGUAUGUGAUGGAUUGAUGUUGAGCUCAUAAAACUACACCUAGGGUGAUUGUGAUUUAGCCAGAGAUAUGAAGUACAUACCUGUUCAUUUAUGUCACCUCCCGCACUAUAUGCUCAUAUUGGAUCCAACUUAAGUGCACAGUCUUGUCGUACAGACCUUAAUUAUGGUUUCGACUGUUAGGUGACUUGCGAUUUAUGGCCCGGCUAUUAUGAGAGAUUAAAAUUGAGCAUAACUAUAUUACACCCAAUCUUGUAGUACAUACAUUUUUAGUGGUUCCGACUUAUGUGCAGUAUAUCGCCGUAUAGGUCAUUGUAGUGACUCCGGCUAGAUUGACUUAGAGUUAUGAAUUCAGCCGUACAGACACCACAGGGUUUCCGACUAACAUAUCAUAUUUCUAUGAAUUUAUUCUUACCUGAAUUGCUUACUCUGUUAUAUAUUGGCAUGACAUAUAUUUGAAUAUGAUUAUGUGAAGCAUGAAUUGAAUUGAUAUGAUUUCAUAUAUAUAUAUAUAUAUAUAUAUAUAUAUAUAUAUAUAUAUAUAUAUAUUAUGUAUAUGCUCAUAUUCUGAUUCUGGGAAAAAUUAAACAUGUUUUACAGCGAAGAGUUAGAUAUGUUGAUAAAGAAAAUGAUUUUGUAAAACAUUUGUUUUUACCCACUCACGUUUUCUGUUUUGUUCCCCUCCAGGUUUUAAGUAAGCUUAUUGUUGGUGGCUUGAGGACGUCGGCGGUUCUGACCUAUCUAAAUAAUAGUAGGACUUUCCUGGUAUUGUAUAAUUAGUACUUGUCCUAUUGGACUGCAUCUAGACUUAAUAUGCUCUGCUUAGGAGUGUUUACUGUUGUAACUAACUCUUAUCACUUCUUGUUUAGUAGUGCACUCUAGCUAUUCAGUUUUUAAUUAUUCGUAUAAUUCUUAUCUUUAUUGCUUCCGCACUGUACACAUGGCUGCGUCACUCUCACGUGACGGCCAAUAUGCCUUGAUAUCGGUCGGGGUGUGUCAAGUACAAAUUUCUAAUAUAUUAAAAAAAGGAUAAAUUCAAAAGUAUUCAAGAGUAGGGUGAAAAAAACUGAAUCAAAUAGUUUUAUGAAAAUUCAAAUCCUUUCUAAAAAAUUAAUAUGCAAUAAAUUUUUAACAUUAAUGUCUUUUUUUUUUCUUGUUGCAAAAUCAUUGACUCUCUCCUUACAAUUAAUUGUCUACAUCAAAUAUGUAAUAGGGGUAUUUUAGGCAUGUAAAAAUGUAAAAUGUGUGAAGUAAUAUGAAAUUAAUGAAUUUGCUUAUGUGGAUCCUAGUAAUUAGGUUUCCUAUGAGUAAAAAAGUUAUGUAGGGUUUGAUAUGAAGAAAAUUGAGUUGGAAGGGCUAAAAUUAUAUUUUUAGUAAAUAAAAUGAUAACUAGGAUUUAGUGGCCUCGAUGGGCUUAACAUUAGUAGUGGGUCAAAUAAGUAAUAGUCACAUCUAAUGGCCCAAUUGAUCCUCACAUGCAUUUUCCUCAUUUGGAUUCUAUUGUUCUUCUGCAUUUGCCCAACUUAGAGUUGCAUUUUACAAAUUUUAUGAUUAUUUGUUUCAAAAAUCAUUUGUCAAUUUGUUGAAAAAGUUGAAGGUUAUGAACUAUGAGCUCUCAUUUGGCUUUAAUACUCGGUGAGUAAGUUAUGCUAGUCUCAAAAUUUUGUGACUUUUUUUUUUGGAACAAACGAUAGUAUCUACACUAAAGGGGUGGGCAAGUGGGCUAAGCCUUUACAUUGGACCAGCCGUAAUAAUGUGGGUUAGCCAUAAAACUUUGUGACUAUUAAAUCGUCUGUAAGCACCAACGGUGGGCUCGACCAAAAGUCAUUCUAAAAAUAUACUUUAUGGACACUUAACAUUUAGUUUAAUAUAAGGACAAAAAUUAUUGUUUAAAGUAGUCUCAUGGAAUGUUAUACGCUAAAACUAAAACAAUAAGUCCAAGGAAUAUGUAAUAGUGAUUAUGCAAUCUAAGGAAAUUACAUUCAUGAGACCUUUUGUUUUCAUAAACGUAUCAUUUUCGUUCAUGACCAUAAAAUUGCUAAUUGAGCAUUGACAAUCCAGUAAGAUCAAGUACAUACUAUAUCUUCUCUCUUUAGAGAGUGACUAGUCUCGAGUUAUUAGUGUGAAAAACAACAACGCAUGUAUGUAGUUUCUCAAUAAAGAGUGAGUUCACUAAAUCGGACAAAACAGUUCCCAUACUCAUGCUAUAUGAGAACUCACUAGUUGGGAUAAAGCAAAGUAGUCAUUUGAUCUGAGAUGCUACAUUUGCCUUAUGGAUACAUCUUUGAUCAUAUCAUGCUUCAUAACCUAAGGUUCAUUCCGCACAUUGUUAGGAUCGCUGAUUUAUUCAUAGAGGCGUGUGAGUGUACAAUAAAAGAUCUCUUACCUUCAACUAUCGAUGAAGAAUACUCUAUGAUAUGUUUCAAGAGUCUAUAGUUAGAGUGCAUGAAUAUGAUUUAAGAAGUAUGUUCUAGAUCGCUUUCAUGGGAAUCACAUAGAUAGUAGAUAUGAAUAAACUAUCAACCAAACAAUGUGAUCAAGAGUAUUAAUUUGAAAAAUUACUGUAUUACAUUGUAAUUUCAAUUAAAUAGGUUAUCCACCUCUUCUGCUGAGCUUGGAUAGUCGUGACAUACUAUUAAGUGUCACUCAUGGCUUGUGGAAGCCCUAAGGAUUAGCACUCGCUAAUCUUCAUUAAAGGAAGAAUUAAAAAAUAGUUUCAGUUCAUAAUCAAUUAGUAAGAGCUCUAAUCACACAUUGCCUCAUUAUUAAGAACCUAAUGAAUUGUACUGAAAUAAAAGUUAAAUAAUUAAAUGAAAAGGUUCUUAUUGGCCCUUAAGUUAGUUUCGGGCUUCAUAGCCUAGUGGGCCCUUGAUCCAUCAAGCAUAACAAGUUAAAUGGUUUCACUUAAAACUACAAGCCCAAAAGUCCAACGAACACUAGUGUGAGACCGGCUCUAUAGUGAGAGAAUGCCACGCUUUGUAAUACCCUGUAUUUAACAAAAAAAUAUAAGUGUGUCUUUGUGUAUAUAUAUGUGGGUGAGCAAUUAUCUUAAUUCAAAUGUAAUGAUUUUCUUUGGGUUUCUGUAUGUUUAUACCAUAACUCGUAUUUUUUAUAUGUAAACUAGUCUCAGCGUAAAAUCCUUUUUGCUACAAAAUUAUUUCAAAACAAGUUAAUAUUAAUUUCACAUUCAUACUUAAUCAGAGAUGUUUUCAUUUGAAUUGAAGAACUAAGAUUAAAACGAGAUAAUAUGACAAUCAUGACUAGAGUUUGGCUUGAUUUUCUCACAAAGAUAAGAUGGCAUUUAGACAACCAUAGAGAAUAAAGAUAAGGGGUUAGUUACUACUCUAGAUAGGUUGAGGUGGGUUUAUUUAAUUUUUAGAGUAUGGAUGAGGCCUUUGGGUACCAAGAGGAUCCUCCAAUCACAUUCAUUCAUUCAUCGUAGAUCGUGCGGUCAUAAAUUAUUGUAAAUUUUUUUUUAUUUAAAAUUGAAUAUAAACAGUACCUGACAAAAACUAUCCGCACGAUGUACGAUGAAUGAAUGUGAUUAGAGGAUCCCCAGGAUCCUCUCUCCUUUUGGUAUUUGCCCACAUGCAUUGUAAUGAUUAUAAUCUUGUUCGGUUACCAUUACUUCCAAUGCUUGAUGUCCAAGUGUAGCAAAAGAUAUGAAAAGUGGCAUUGAAUGCUUAAUUGGAGAUUUCAUUUUUUUCUCCAAGUGAACCAUGGGACGAAUAGGAGACCAAGAAAACAACAGUAACACCACCCCAACAAAAAGAAGAAGAGCCAUUCUCCCACCAUAACUAUGGUAUAUGUUCACCAUACACCUAAUAAUUUGUCACCUUUUUUACCUAAUUCUAGUUAACUUUCACAUUAAAUGUUACUUUUUCAAUUUUGAAAAAAAAUUAACGAAGGUUAAGUCAAAGGACAUGUGACAUGACAAUGAUUAUACACCAUAAAUUAUGGUGAGCAUACACUAUAGAUUAUGAUGGUGAGCAAAAAUGCUUUCAUUUGUAAAUCCUCCAUACAUAGUGAAAUAGAAAGACAAACACCAUCUCAGUGGCUGUAAACACUACAAGAAAAUAUGGAUUAGGUGAUGAAAUUUUUUGUGGCGCGCAAAAAUUUAUCACAUUUGGGUAAAAUAAGUGACGCUUUUUUUAGAAACUGUCACAUAAUAAUUUUCACUGGACACUAAAAUACUUUGCGUCACAUAAACUUCUGAAUUUGCCACAAACUAUUGGGCAGAAAAUUUUACCGCCGAAUGAAAUGUUAAUAUGUGACCAAACUUUAAAAUUCAUUACAUAACAAAAAAGAAGGCCAGGUUUAUGCCAUUGGUCACAUAUAGUAUUAAAAUAAAAAAUAAAAAUAUACUGAAGAAAUUGUAUUAUUGAUAUAUAUAUAUACUAGAAAUUGAGCCCGCGCGAUGCCGCGGGUUUUAAAAUUAUGUUAAAUGUGUGAAAUAUAUUAAAACAUAUUCUCAACCAUAUCAAAAUUCAUAUACAUCCUAAUGUUCAACAAAGAACCAAAACAGUUUACAACAUGGUACUUGGCCCUCAAUAUGCAGAGAGCCCAUUCCCCAUCUUCAUUUUGCAAAAACAAUUCAUCAGUCAAUUUAUUCAUUUUUCUAUACCGAAAUUAAAGCUUUCUUAAAAAGCAUUAAUUUCAUGAAAAGCAUUCUUACCUGAUGAUUAUAGAGAUAUAUGCACAUCAUAACAGCAUUUAGACCUCCAGUAAUUGAAAGUGCAAUGAUCUAUUGCAAUUGGUAAGUAAUACUUAGUCACUCAACAAUUACGAAAUGGACCAAAUAAUAAAGAAAAAACCAAUCUUGGUUAAUUCAUUUAACUAAGAAGAAAGGCUGUGAAGUUCCGAAAUGAAUAUCCAGCCAUCUUUUGAAAUGUCAAAACUUACCUGGAAAUGCCGGAUUAGAUGGGUCUCAACCAAGUACGAAGCGAAUCCAAAAUGGGCACAAAUUUUCUGAAAUAAAAAACAAAAGCACAUGAGAUACUAAAAAAAGCCAUAAAAAAAAAAAGGGAAAUCAAAACCUUGUGUGGCAACAAACAUGCAGAACUUACCUUGAAAACCCAGAUCAAAGCAACCAAAAACCCAAAAAAAUUAUCGAAAUCAAACCAAAAAACCAGAUAAAUUAACAACCCUGACUACUAAUCGAAGAACAACAUAUGCGAGCCAUAAUCAACCAUUACACAUAUUUUGACAACAAUGUAGGAAAUCAGUGUAUCACAAAGUGAAAGCAAUCUCACAUUUGCCACACUUCUUAUUAGUAGAGCUAAACUACAAAAGCAGUCAACAAUUUAUGCCAUGAACAACUGAGGAUCAAAUACAUCUACUCUACAAUAUAAACAAAAAUUUGGAGGGACAGUUUGUAUGCUUUCCUAUUUCUCUCUGCGGUAAUUUUUCAUGUGUGGCUUUGUGCAUUCACACAUGCACAUUUGCCCACAUUUCUUUGCUGUUUUUUUUGUUACUAUUUGCCUUUCCUGAAUUUAUUAAGCAAAAUGUUAAAUUAUUCAUGUGUGAAUAGGUGGGUCUAGAGUCUGAAAUGGUGGGGGAAGCAUCUAGAUAAAACGUGGGGCUAAAACGGUGUGGGAACGAAGAGUGAGCCUGAUUCCAACAGAUACAAAGUAGUGGCAACAACCUCUAUUAAUAACCCCUAUUAAGUCAAUGAGUAGCCAACCUCUAUUUGUGCAGUUAUAUUUGGAACAUCCUAGUUUAUCUGAACCAAAUCCUUGAAAUGGGAACACAGUUGUUCAUAUGCAAGCAUGUCCGCUUAGCUGGUAUUGGCUUUACCUAAUUUACUUUUUAAGUCCAAUGUGAUAGAAAAUCCAUGUUUGUCUUGAUUUUACAUGAAAAAUACGAUGCAUGUCCCCUGAACAUACUGCUCAAGAAGCAAAUUUUGCUUGCUUGCAGCAUUUAGUAUAUAAACCACAAUAAGCAAUUUACUGAUCAUAAAAGAUAACUACGAAAUGAAAAAAUAUAAAAAUUUCAAUCUCAAAUUGUCUGCUGAUCUUAAAAACAAAAUCCAUGCAACUGAACCUAACUAAUACACAACUCGGCUGAGCCCAAGAUUUCAAUUUACUGGACAUAAAAGCAAAAGGUCACAUAAUUUUAUUAAGAUUUAUUUUCCUACGUUUUCUAGGCCCAUAUUACCAGUGAACGCCUAUUUUUCAACUAAAUAGGGAAUUUUCCCACGAAACUGAAAGCUAGGAACUUAGAACAAUGAAAUCAAACUUCAAUUAAACCAAUUUACAACCAGAUGAGAUGGAAAAUUAGCUAAUUAAUUAAUUAAUGAUUUAAUCAAGAACAAACCAAGAUAUCUACAACCCAAAUUAAACACAAAAUCAAGGUCCUUUCAGAAACAUAAGCUUAAGAAGACGAAAUCUGAAACCUUUCAAAAGCGCAGAAAUAGAGAGAAAAAUAUUGGGGGAAAAGUUGGGAAAUUUACCAAAGGGGUUUAGGUGGAGGCAUCUAGAGGAGACGAUCGGCAAGGCAGAUUGAAGCUCGAAAAGGCCGAGCUUGGACUCUGCGGCAGUGGCGAGAUCUAGGGUUUUUCCACAGAGAGAGGGAAACCUAGAUUGGGAAAAUAGGGAGAGAAAUAGACCUUGAUUCAAAGAAAAAUGGUGAAGCCCUAAAUCGAGCUGCUUGGUGCAGAGAAGAGUGAGGCGAGGAGGGAGACGGGGAGAGCAAGAGUCAAGCAGAGAAAAAGUGGGUCUACAGUCUGAAAUGGUGGGGAAGCAUCUAGAGAAGACGUGAUCUAAAACGGUGUGGGAACGAAAUGCGAACCUGAAAUAACAAAAAAGAAGCAGAGGUGAAAAUGGAAUGACACUGUCAAUGAAUAGUUUUUUUUUAUGUUGGGUUUUAGUAUAUGUAUAAUAUCUCUAUAUACUAAAACUUAGUAGGGAGGUACUGUGGAUGACCAGUGGGCGGACGAUUUUGCCCCUGGCUUUUUCAUCCGAUUGUUCUUCUCUUUGGUUUUUGGGGCAGCGAAAUGCCGCUUUUGCCCACUGCUUCCACGCGUCGGAUCCUCUAUUUGGAACCAGGAUCCUCUCCUGAGCAGUUUCCUAGGGAUCCUGCAAUCUUGUCCGUUCAUUUUAUAUCGUGCGGUCAGUUUUCGUUAGAUACUAUUCAUAUUUGAAUUUUAAAAUUUAAAUUUUAAAUAAUUUCUGACCGCACGAUA